rnacentral:lncRNA from 1 species
GGGUAUAAAAGGAAUAUGUAAAACAAGAUUUGAAAUUCAAAUUUUUUUAUUCCAAAGACCCUAAUAUAAAAACUCUCUCUUUCACUUUUAAUUUUAGAUCUAAAAAAUCUCAUUCUCUCACCUGUUUUCUACCCUCUCUCUUCUCUUCUCUCGUCUCCGCCCUCUCUCUUCUCUAUUUUCUCCUUCAUCCCUUCUCUACCACCACAACAUGAGUUUCACAUUCCAAAUACGAUGAGAUAUUGCAUAUGGAAUCGCUGAGUAAUGGACACGUAAGACGGACGUAAUUGGAAGCCCUAAAAAACAGCAACGAAUGCAGCGUUGGUGGAGACAAAAGGCGGCGAUGAGGAGAACAACAAUGAAGGCAGCGUUCAUGGUAACAAAGACAAAAUUGGUGGAGGCUUUUACGAGGUAGAACUCAUUUUCAACCGUAUUGUGUUUAAAUCUGUUUCUCGUUUUUAGAACUGAUGUUUUUUAUAUCCGGAUCUGUUUUGUCUAGGUACUACCAAGAUUUGGGAAUUUUAAUGAGCUAUCGACUGUCAAAAUCUAUUCAACUCCUGAUUUUCUCCGAUCAAUAGCAGUUGCUCUUUCUUUAGGGAGAGUUUCGAAAUGGUUUCACUAAGCACACAGAAGAGGCUACCCAGUUAAAAAGCGAAAGGUUUAGCUAAUAUAUGGGAAGAACCCAAACAAUGGUUGAAGGAUGCAUAGCUGCUGAUAGUAGUUCUAAUGGUCAUACAACAAAGACAAGUUAAUAUAUGCAUUCAAUCAUUAACUGCUAACAAAAUCGUAUUAAUUUUCAUUUAAAAGUAAUCCAACCAAUUGAUAUAUGCUACAAUUUCCCUACGUUUUCACAAACACUGCAUAGAUGAACUAGGAUGGACCAACUUUUGUUAAAUAUUAUUUCAUUGUCCAGAGAUUUGACUCCCUAAUGAAUUCAAUUCACUCAAGAGAACAAAUUUCAUAGCUAUUUCUGCACAAUAACAAAUUGAUUCUAGAGAUUUCACAAGUUCCUGUAAUUUUGAUGGUUCAUCCAUCAUUUGCAUAUCAAAACCC